AUGGCAUUGGUCCUCAGAUUUGUUGAUGAAGAUCGUAUAUUGCAAGAGCGGUUCUUUGCCUUGAUACAUGUGACGAACACCAAAGCCGCAACACUUAAAGAGGUAUUGAGUUCUGUGGUAUCCAAACAUGCUUUUGAUGUUCAGAACCUUCGUGGGCAGGGAUACGAUGGGGCUAGUAAUAUGAGGGGGGAGCUCAAUGGCUUGCAAGCUCUUUUUCUUAGAGAAUGCCCGUAUGCAUAUUAUGUCCACUGCUAUGCUCAUCGCUUGCAACUUGCGCUAGUGUCUGCUUCGAAGGAAGUGGUCACUGGUGCUCAAUUCUUUCAGAAACUUCUUUUUAUUGUAAACACCGUUGACUCCUCUGCAAAGCGCCAUGAUGAGCUUCGUGAUGCCCAGUUGGAGGAACUAGCUCGGUUACUAGCUAUUGAUGACAUUGAAACUGGUAAAGGGGCAAACCAGAUCUGCACACUAAAACGACUUGGAGACACUAGAUGGGGGUCUCACUUAGGUUCUAUAUCCAGCCUAAAGAAUAUGUUUAAUGCAGUACAUUCAGUACUUCAAAAUAUAGCAUCUGAUGGGUCAGCUGGCUCAAUUCGUGCAGAUGGAGACACUGCUUUCAACUACUUAUCUUCUUUUGAGUUCAUAUUUGUCUUAUGUCUGAUGGAAGAAGCAUUGGAGAUAACUGAAGAUCUUGGUCAAGCUUUGCAAAAUAAAUCACAGGACAUAGUAAAUGCCAUGCGUCUAGUGUUCACAACAAAGGUUCGUCUUGAUGAAAUGAGAUCAGAUGAUGGUUGGGAGGCCUUCUUUGAUAGGGUUGUCGAGUUCUGUGUAAAUCAUUCCAUUGAUAUUCCAGAUUUGGGAGAAACUUACAUUCUGCGUGGUGGUCGAGCUCGUCGCCAACCAGAUCAUUUUACUAAGGAGCACUAUUUCCGGGUGGAAGUAUUUCGUGCAACACUUGAUACUCAACUACAUGAAUUAGAAUUCAGGUUCAAUGACAAGGUACUGGAUCUAUUGACCACUAGUGCUACCCUGAUCCCUAAAAAUAAAUUCAGAUCUUUCAAAGCUGAUGAUAUUUGUGAGUUAGUCAAGAAAUAUUAUCCAGCAGAUUUCACCCAACAAGAAAUCUAUGGAUUGGAGCAGCAACUAAAACACUUUGUUGUGGAUGCCUCCAAUGAUAAAGAUUUGAAAAAUGUGUCAACCUUAACAAAUCUUUGUCGAUAUCUCUUUGAGACGGGAAGACAUUCUAUCUACAAUUUGGUUGAUCGAUUGUUGCGAUUGCUUCUAACUCUUCCAGUUUCUACAGCAAGUGCCGAGCGAGCAUUCUCAACUUUGAAGAUCAUUAAGACAAGGCUACGUAAUACCAUGGAAGAUGAUUAUCUAGCCAAUAGCUUGCUAGUAAAAAUAGAGAGUGAAAUCACGAAGAAGUACAGUUAUGAAGAUGUUCUUGUGCACUUUAAGGGUGCAAAGAAACGGAAAGCUAAUCUGUAG
rnacentral:rRNA from 1 species